CAUUUCUUUAAGAACUUGCCAUAGUUUGUUGUGGUCCACACAGUCAAAGGCUUUUGCAUAGUCAAUGAAGCAGAAGUAGAUAUUUUUCUGGAACUCUCUGGCUUUCUCCAUAAUCCAGCGCAAGUUAGCAAUCUAGCCUCAUAAGGUACAGUAAAUACUAUGCAGGAAACAACAUCCUGCUACAAGGCAGUGCUUCAGGGCUACCUGACAAAAUGAAUAUAUUUGAAGUAGCUGACAAGGAAGAAGUUUAAUUCACAGAUGAAGAAUAAUAAUCUUAAAAGAGUCUGAGGUUCCUUUCCGGUGAUGCUUUUCAACAGCUGGAAAAGAAAAGACAGCAAAUGCUUGUGACUAAUUUAAUCCUGCAUGUAACAAGAAGAACCUGGCCAUAUAUCAGAGAACAGACAGAGUGACUCAGUUAAAGGCAGAGCCUUCUGAGGGACAGGCAAGGAUUCUGCCACAAAGCAAAUGAUUCAGAAGUUUCUCCUUUUCAUCAAGUCCAUCGCUGCUGACCUGGGACUUCUUCUGCUCUCACAAUUAGCAGCAGUAAUUAACAGUGGCUCAACAACCAGACUCCUUCUUUGGUGGGAUCAAUGGAUAAUAACCAGGUAAUCCCUUCUGCUGACAUGCUUCCAUCAGUGCAACAGGGAGAGGGCUGUUACUCACCUCCCCGUCAGGACAAGGCACUCACCCUGUGCUUCCAAAAGCUACUAUGGAUGUUUGCUGGACCAUGAAUUAGGGGGCUUUGGUACAGUAAGAAGGGAAGUCCUCUCGUUGAGUGACAGGAUGUCCUGUGCUGGAUUUCACCACAGCAUUCUCUACUCUUUAUACCAAGAUGUCAUUGCUGCUGCUAAACGUCGAGUGUUAUCUGGGGAACAUCACAUUCCCUUUAUCCUAUUUCACGCUGGGCUCCUGCUGUGGGGAGACAGUGCUGCUUGGCCAAGGUACCGAAAAGUCUACCAACAGCUCUGGUUGGGGGAGGACAGCUGAAUCCUUUUGGAAAACAGGGUGAGUGGAAAAGGUUUAACUGCUUGAUUUUUCCUUAGCCACAUCGUGCCUCCAAUAGCCUCAUGGCGCAGUGGUUAA
rnacentral:lncRNA from 1 species